UCAAAAUGGGGUCUUGUACUCAUUGACGAGUCGACGACGUACACUCUUUCAUCAUCAUCACCUCUCUCUCUCUCUCUCUCUCUCUCUGAGUCUGUGUCCUAUUUGUGAGCUGGCCGGUUUCUGGGAUCAACAAAUCAAAAUGGGGCAUAAGAAAGCUCUCACAGGGUUUUCAACCUUCAUAGUCAUUCUAAUGGUGGCCUCAAUACCAUUUGUGCAACCUUCUCGCCUCCAAGUGAGAACAUUCACUUUGACAGAAAACACAAACACAAAGAACCAUUUUUCCCCUUUUUUUUUAAUCUGAAAAGGGGCUUCAAAUCAACCAGGCUGAUAGAUUUGGGAAUGGAGAAGGAGCUAAGGUUUUCAAUGCUGUGGAAGACUCAGCAAGGCAAGUUCCGGCUGGUCCUGACCCUCUUCACCAUAACAACAACCCCAUUGGUCCUUAAACCCUAUCUCUCUCUCUCUCUCUGAGCCAAGGUUUUAAAUGCUGGGGUUUUCACCAAUGUAUAGACACUACUUUAGGGCUGCUCUGCUUCAUAGCUAUAGUUAUCCAAGAUAGUUUUAGUUUUUCUUAAUGGCAUGACCAAAUAUUGUUAUGUGGUAAUGGUAUAUGGAUGUCUUUUCUUCUCCAAUGUUCUUAUAAU